GAUGAACGCUGGCGGCGUGCCUAAUACAUGCAAGUCGAGCGAACAGAUGAGGAGCUUGCUCCUCUGACGUUAGCGGCGGACGGGUGAGUAACACGUGGAUAACCUACCUAUAAGACUGGGAUAACUUCGGGAAACCGGAGCUAAUACCGGAUAAUAUAUUGAACCGCAUGGUUCAAUAGUGAAAGACGGUUUUGCUGUCACUUAUAGAUGGAUCCGCGCCGCAUUAGCUAGUUGGUAAGGUAACGGCUUACCAAGGCAACGAUGCGUAGCCGACCUGAGAGGGUGAUCGGCCACACUGGAACUGAGACACGGUCCAGACUCCUACGGGAGGCAGCAGUAGGGAAUCUUCCGCAAUGGGCGAAAGCCUGACGGAGCAACGCCGCGUGAGUGAUGAAGGUCUUCGCAUCGUAAAACUCUGUUAUUAGGGAAGAACAAAUGUGUAAGUAACUAUGCACGUCUUGACGGUACCUAAUCAGAAAGCCACGGCUAACUACGUG
rnacentral:rRNA from 1 species